rnacentral:sRNA from 1 species
CCCUAGCCCUGAUAGUAGUGGAAAGCCCGGAAUCGCGAUGGCUUACAUUUUAUGGGGCGGGAAAGCGACCGGAGGAAGCUCUUGCCGCCCCAUAAAAAUGUUGCCAGCGGGAUGAGGACUUGCAACGAAUAGCAGGAAAUAGC